rnacentral:rRNA from 1 species
AGGACCAAACUCUGAAUGUUAGUGAUGUCUGAGUACUAUAUAAUAGUUAAAACUUUCAACAACGGAUCUCUUGGUUCUGGCAUCGAUGAAGAACGCAGCGAAAUGCGAUAAGUAAUGUGAAUUGCAGAAUUCAGUGAACCAUCGAAUCUUUGAACGCACAUUGCGCCCGGUGGUAUUCCGCCGGGCAUGCCUGUUCGAGCGUCAUUAUAACCAAUCAUGCCUGGCAUGGUGUUGGGGCACGCGGUCUCGCGGCCCUCAAAAUCAGUGGCGGUGCCGGUAGGCUCUAAGCGUAGUAAUUCUUCUCGCUACAGGGUCCUGCGGGUGGCUUGCCAGAACCCCCCAUUUUUUCAGGUUGACCUCGGAUCAGGUAGGGAUACCCGCUGAACUUAAGCAUAUCAAUAAGCGGAGGAAAAGAAACCAACAGGGAUUACCUCAGUAACGGCGAGUGAAGCGGUAACAGCUCAAAUUUGAAAGCUCCCCACAGGGCGCAUUGUAAUUUGUAGAGGAUGCUUUGGGGGUCGGCCCGGUUUAAGUUCCUUGGAACAGGACGUCAUAGAGGGUGAGAAUCCCGUAUGUGACCGGUGCUAGCCUUCGUGUAAAGCUCCUUCGACGAGUCGAGUUGUUUGGGAAUGCAGCUCAAAAUGGGUGGUAUAUUUCAUCUAAAGCUAAAUAUUGGCCAGAGACCGAUAGCGCACAAGUAGAGUGAUCGAAAGAUGAAAAGCACUUUGGAAAGAGAGUUAAACAGUACGUGAAAUUGUUGAAAGGGAAGCGCUUGCAAUCAGACUUGCGGGCGGUCGAUCAUCCGAG